CCUACGGGAGGCAGCAGUGAGGAAUAUUGGUCAAUGGGCGCGAGCCUGAACCAGCCAAGUCGCGUGAGGGAAGACGGCCCUACGGGUUGUAAACCUCUUUUGCCGGGGAGCAACGGGCGCCACGUGUGGCGCCACUGAGAGUACCCGGAGAAAAAGCAUCGGCUAACUCCGUGCCAGCAGCCGCGGUAAUACGGAGGAUGCGAGCGUUAUCCGGAUUUAUUGGGUUUAAAGGGUGCGUAGGCGGAGCGGUAAGUCAGUGGGCAAAUUGAGGGGCUCAACCCCUUCCCGCCAUUGAAACUGGCGGUUUUGAGGUGAAGAGAAGUAUGGGGAAUGCGGGGUGGAGGGGGGAAAUGCAUAG
rnacentral:rRNA from 1 species